rnacentral:rRNA from 3 species
UUGAAGAGUUUGAUCAUGGCUCAGAUUGAACGCUGGCGGCAGGCCUAACACAUGCAAGUCGAGCGGUAGCACAGAGAGCUUGCUCUCGGGUGACGAGCGGCGGACGGGUGAGUAAUGUCUGGGAAACUGCCUGAUGGAGGGGGAUAACUACUGGAAACGGUAGCUAAUACCGCAUAAUGUCGCAAGACCAAAGUGGGGGACCUUCGGGCCUCAUGCCAUCAGAUGUGCCCAGAUGGGAUUAGCUAGUAGGUGGGGUAACGGCUCACCUAGGCGACGAUCCCUAGCUGGUCUGAGAGGAUGACCAGCCACACUGGAACUGAGACACGGUCCAGACUCCUACGGGAGGCAGCAGUGGGGAAUAUUGCACAAUGGGCGCAAGCCUGAUGCAGCCAUGCCGCGUGUGUGAAGAAGGCCUUCGGGUUGUAAAGCACUUUCAGCGGGGAGGAAGGCGAUAAGGUUAAUAACCUUGUCGAUUGACGUUACCCGCAGAAGAAGCACCGGCUAACUCCGUGCCAGCAGCCGCGGUAAUACGGAGGGUGCAAGCGUUAAUCGGAAUUACUGGGCGUAAAGCGCACGCAGGCGGUCUGUCAAGUCGGAUGUGAAAUCCCCGGGCUCAACCUGGGAACUGCAUUCGAAACUGGCAGGCUAGAGUCUUGUAGAGGGGGGUAGAAUUCCAGGUGUAGCGGUGAAAUGCGUAGAGAUCUGGAGGAAUACCGGUGGCGAAGGCGGCCCCCUGGACAAAGACUGACGCUCAGGUGCGAAAGCGUGGGGAGCAAACAGGAUUAGAUACCCUGGUAGUCCACGCCGUAAACGAUGUCGAUUUGGAGGUUGUGCCCUUGAGGCGUGGCUUCCGGAGCUAACGCGUUAAAUCGACCGCCUGGGGAGUACGGCCGCAAGGUUAAAACUCAAAUGAAUUGACGGGGGCCCGCACAAGCGGUGGAGCAUGUGGUUUAAUUCGAUGCAACGCGAAGAACCUUACCUGGUCUUGACAUCCACAGAACUUAGCAGAGAUGCUUUGGUGCCUUCGGGAACUGUGAGACAGGUGCUGCAUGGCUGUCGUCAGCUCGUGUUGUGAAAUGUUGGGUUAAGUCCCGCAACGAGCGCAACCCUUAUCCUUUGUUGCCAGCGGUUAGGCCGGGAACUCAAAGGAGACUGCCAGUGAUAAACUGGAGGAAGGUGGGGAUGACGUCAAGUCAUCAUGGCCCUUACGACCAGGGCUACACACGUGCUACAAUGGCAUAUACAAAGAGAAGCGACCUCGCGAGAGCAAGCGGACCUCAUAAAGUAUGUCGUAGUCCGGAUUGGAGUCUGCAACUCGACUCCAUGAAGUCGGAAUCGCUAGUAAUCGUAGAUCAGAAUGCUACGGUGAAUACGUUCCCGGGCCUUGUACACACCGCCCGUCACACCAUGGGAGUGGGUUGCAAAAGAAGUAGGUAGCUUAACCUUCGGGAGGGCGCUUACCACUUUGUGAUUCAUGACUGGGGUGAAGUCGUAACAAGGUAACCGUAGGGGAACCUGCGGUUGGAUCACCUCCUU